ACCUACGGGGCGCAGCAGUGAGGAAUAUUGGUCAAUGGGCGCGAGCCUGAACCAGCCAAGUAGCGUGAAGGAUGACUGCCCUACGGGUUGUAAACUUCUUUUAUAAAGGAAUAAAGUGAGGCACGUGUGCCUUUUUGUAUGUAUUUUAUGAAUAAGGAUCGGCUAACUCCGUGCCAGCAGCCGCGGUAAUACGGAGGAUCCGAGCGUUAUCCGGAUUUAUUGGGUUUAAAGGGUGCGCAGGCGGCGUGUCAAGUCAGCGGUAAAAUGUCGGGGCUCAACCCCGGCCGGCCGUUGAAACUGGCGUG
rnacentral:rRNA from 1 species